rnacentral:lncRNA from 1 species
UUCAUUUGUUGGAUGCACUUGGUGUAGUUAUAUUAAUGGUUAACUAAAAUUUUUUGUGGAGGCACCACACGUCUGCUGAAGAGAUGUCUGGAGAAAAAUCUAAUUAUUAGAAGUUGUUUAGAAAAAUAAUUAGUUAUGAACCUAUACCUGGAUGCACUAGGAUUGGUCGAGCCACACUCGAGCCUGAAUGCAGUCUGUGUGGAUUCUAGAACCUGCUAAAGAAUUAAUGUAAUUCUUUGAAUUGGAGGUAGA